rnacentral:rRNA from 1 species
UUCCGGUUGAUCCUGCCGGACCUGACUGCUAUCGGAUUGAUACUAAGCCAUGCGAGUUUUUGUAGCAAUACAAGGCAUACGGCUCAGUAACACGUAGUCAAUCUAACCUAUGGACGAGGAUAACCUCGGGAAACUGAGAAUAAUACUCGAUAGAUCAUUAUGCCUGGAACGGUUUAUGGUUAAAAUGAAUUUCGCCAUAGGAUGGGACUGCGGUCUAUCAGCUUGUUGGUGAUGUAAUGGACCACCAAGGCUAUAACAGAUACGGGCUCUGAGAGGAGAAGCCCGGAGAUGGGUACUGAGACACGGACCCAGGCCCUAUGGGGCGCAGCAGGCGAGAAAACUUUGCAAUGUGCGAAAGCACGACAAGGUUAAUCCGAGUGAUUCCUGCUAAAGGAAUCUUUUGUUAGUCGUAAAACCACUGAUGAAUAAGGGGUGGGCAAGUUCUGGUGUCAGCCGCCGCGGUAAAACCAGCACCUCAAGUGGUCAGGAUGUUUAUUGGGCCUAAAGCAUCCGUAGCCGGCUUUGUAAGUUUUCGGUUAAAUCUAUAUGCUCAACAUAUAGGCUGCCGGGAAUACUGCAAAGCUAGGGAGUGGGAGAGGUAGACGGUACUCCGUAGGAAGGGGUAAAAUCCUUUGAUCUAUGGAUGACCACCUGUGGCGAAGGCGGUCUACCAGAACACGUCUGACGGUGAGGGAUGAAAGCUGGGGGAGCAAACCGGAUUAGAUACCCGGGUAGUCCCAGCUGUAAACGAUGCAAACUCAGUGAUGCAUUGGCUUGUGGCCAGUGCAGUGCCGCAGGGAAGCCGUUAAGUUUGCCGCCUGGGAAGUACGUACGCAAGUAUGAAACUUAAAGGAAUUGGCGGGGGAGCACCACAAGGGGUGAAGCCUGCGGUUUAAUUGGAGUCAACGCCGGGA